rnacentral:rRNA from 1 species
AACGAACGCUGGCGGCAGGCUUAACACAUGCAAGUCGAGCGCCCCGCAAGGGGAGCGGCAGACGGGUGAGUAACGCGUGGGAAUCUACCCAUCUCUACGGAAUAACGCAUGGAGACGUGUGCUAAUACCGUAUACGUCCUUCGGGAGGAAGAUUUAUCGGAGAUGGAUGAGCCCGCGUUGGAUUAGCUAGUUGGUGGGGUAAAGGCCUACCAAGGCGACGAUCCAUAGCUGGUCUGAGAGGAUGAUCAGCCACACUGGGACUGAGACACGGCCCAGACUCCUACGGGAGGCAGCAGUGGGGAAUAUUGGACAAUGGGCGCAAGCCUGAUCCAGCCAUGCCGCGUGAGUGAUGAAGGCCCUAGGGUUGUAAAGCUCUUUCACCGGUGAAGAUAAUGACGGUAACCGGAGAAGAAGCCCCGGCUAACUACGUGCCAGCCGCCGCCGUAAUAC